CCUACGGGUGGCAGCAGUGAGGAAUAUUGGUCAAUGGACGAGAGUCUGAACCAGCCAAGUAGCGUGAAGGAUGACUGCACAACGGGUCGUAAACCUCUUUUAUAUGGGAAUAAAAUGUUCCACGUGUGGGCUUUUGUAUGUACCAUAUGAAUAAGCAUCGGCUAACUCCGUGCCAGCAGCCGCGGUAAUACGGAGGAUCCGAGCGUUAUCCGGAUUUAUUGGGUUUAAAGGGAGCGUAGGUGGAUUGUUAAGUCAGUUUGGAAAGUUUGCGGCGCAACCGUAAAAUUGCAGUUGAAACUGGCAGUCUGGAGUACAGUAGAGGUGGGCGGAAGUCGUGGUGUAGCGGUGAAAUGCUUAGAUAUCACGAAGAACGCCGAUUGCGAAGGCAGCUUACUGGACUGCAACUGACACUGAGGCUCGAAAGUGUGGGUAUCAAACAGGAUUAGAUACCCGUGUAGUC
rnacentral:rRNA from 1 species